rnacentral:tRNA from 1 species
CGGGGUGUAGCUCAGUCCGGUUAGAGUACACGUCUGGGGGACGUGUGGCCGCUGGUUCAAAUCCAGCCACCCCGACAA